UGCCGAAACCGGGCUUAGUGCCCGGUCCGCCAGGGAUGGCCUCCUGGCGCUGAUGAGGCAGGCCACA
rnacentral:hammerhead_ribozyme from 1 species